ACCACAUGAUUAGGAAGGCCUUCGGGUUGUAAUCUCCUUUUCUCAUUGAAUAAGAUCUGAAGGUAUUUGAGGAAUAACCACCGGCUAAUUUCGUGCCAGCAGCCGCGGUAAUACGAGAGGUGCAAGUUUUAUCCGAAAUUAUUGGGCGUAAAGAGUUUGUAGGUGGUCAAAUGUGUUUGUUGUUAAAUAUCAAAGCUUAACUUUGAAGUAGCAGUGAAAACUAUUAGACUUGAGUAUAAUAGAGGUAAAGGGAAUUCCCAGUGUAGCGGUGAAAUGCGUAGAGAUUGGGAAGAACACCAAUGGCGAAAGCACUUUGCUAGGUUAAUACUGACACUGAGAAACGAAAGCUAAGGUAGCAAACACAAUUAGAUACCGCGGUAGUCUUAGAUGUAAACUAUGGAUACUAGGUGGUGCUUUUUGCACUACUGAAGUUAACACGUUAAGUAUCCCGCCUGGGGAGUACGCUUGCAAAAGUGAAACUCAAAUGAAAUUGACGGAAGACUCAAAGGAAUUGACGGACCUUACUCGUAACUAUAAACGAUUCCGACUCGGAUUCGAAUGAAUCAAAAAUUU
rnacentral:rRNA from 1 species